GCGUCAGGCAGUACUGAGGAGAGAUCAUUACCGAGUGCGGGCCCUCGCGGCCCAACCUCCCACCCUUGUCUCUAUACACCUGUUGCUUUGGCGGGCCCACCGGGGCCACCUGGUCGCCGGGGGACGCACGUCUCCGGGCCCGCGCCCGCCGAAGCGCUCUGUGAACCCUGAUGAAGAUGGGCUGUCUGAGUACUGUGAAAAUUGUCAAAACUUUCAACAAUGGAUCUCUUGGUUCCGGCAUCGAUGAAGAACGCAGCGAAAUGCGAUAAGUAAUGUGAAUUGCAGAAUUCCGUGAAUCAUCGAAUCUUUGAACGCACAUUGCGCCCCCUGGCAUUCCGGGGGGCAUGCCUGUCCGAGCGUCAUUUCUGCCCUCAAGCACGGCUUGUGUGUUGGGUGUGGUCCCCCCGGGGACCUGCCCGAAAGGCAGCGGCGACGUCCGUCUGGUCCUCGAGCGUAUGGGGCUCUGUCACUCGCUCGGGAAGGACCUGCGGGGGUUGGUCACCACCAUGUUUUACCACGGUUGACCUCGGAUCAGGUAGGAGUUACCCGCUGAACUUAAGCAUAUCACUAAGCGAGAAGAC
rnacentral:rRNA from 1 species